GGGGAAUAUUGCACAAUGGGCGCAAGCCUGAUGCAGCGACGCCGCGUGGAGGAUGAAGGCCUUCGGGUCGUAAACUCCUGUCUGGGGGGAUGAAAACUGACAGUACCCCCGGAGGAAGCCCCGGCUAACUACGUGCCAGCAGCCGCGGUAAUACGUAGGGGGCGAGCGUUGUCCGGAAUUACUGGGCGUAAAGCGCGCGCAGGCGGCUUGUUAAGUCAGGUGUCAAAAUGCGGGGCUCAACCCCGUAUCGCACUUGAAACUGGCAGGCUUGAGUGCAGGAGAGGGAAGUGGAAUUCCUAGUGUAGCGGUGAAAUGCGUAGAUAUUAGGAGGAACACCAGUGGCGAAGGCGACUUCCUGGACUGUAACUGACGCUGAGGCGCGAAAGCUAGGGGAGCAAAC
rnacentral:rRNA from 1 species